UGCAGUCGAGCGAACGAUAAGGAGCUUGCUCCUUUGACGUUAGCGGCGGACGGGUGAGUAACACGUGGGUAACCUACCUAUAAGACUGGAAUAACUCCGGGAAACCGGGGCUAAUGCCGGAUAACAUUUAGAACCGCAUGGUUCUAAAGUGAAAGAUGGUUUUGCUAUCACUUAUAGAUGGACCCGCGCCGUAUUAGCUAGUUGGUAAGGUAAUGGCUUACCAAGGCAACGAUACGUAGCCGACCUGAGAGGGUGAUCGGCCACACUGGAACUGAGACACGGUCCAGACUCCUACGGGAGGCAGCAGUAGGGAAUCUUCCGCAAUGGGCGAAAGCCUGACGGAGCAACGCCGCGUGAGUGAUGAAGGGUUUCGGCUCGUAAAACUCUGUUAUUAGGGAAGAACAAACGUGUAAGUAACUGUGCACGUCUUGACGGUACCUAAUCAGAAAGCCACGGCUAACUACGUGCCAGCAGCCGCGGUAAUACGUAGGUGGCAAGCGUUAUCCGGAAUUAUUGGGCGUAAAGCGCGCGUAGGCGGUUUCUUAAGUCUGAUGUGAAAGCCCACGGCUCAACCGUGGAGGGUCAUUGGAAA
rnacentral:rRNA from 1 species